CAAAAAAGUUUUUAGAUUUGUUCCUGAUUCCUUAUUUAGGAUAUAAGCACAUCGUCCAAAGCAAUCAAGAUCAAAUUUUUAAGAGAGAUUAUUAAGAGAGGUUAUCAUCCUAAUACAAUCACUUUCAAUACACUGAUGAAAGGGUUGUGUACCAAGAAUGAUAUUGAACCUGCCUUUAAAGUGUUUGCUAAAAUGAUUCAGACAGGAUGUUCUUGGAGGCUAUCAAGUUAAUCAUCAAAAUGGAAGAGAAAGGUUGUUUACCAGAUUCUAGAACAUAUGAUUUUAUCAUCAAGGGUUUCCUUACUUCGCAAUGUCUUCGCAAGAUGCCAGAAAGAAAAUUUGUACCUUGUGAUUCUGUUAUUUCUUUGUUAAUAAACACUCUCUCGACAGAUGAGCUAAAAAAUUCUGUAGCUCAAUCAGAGAAUUUGCAGUGCUCAGAUCUUAUGGUGACAAAUAUGCUUGGACAUUGAAGGUUGGCCUCAUUGUUUGGUUCUACAUCUCAACUCGCAUACACUGAUCAGAGAGUUUUAUGCACCACUGAACCCAACUAAUAUAUGGCUAAAUUAUAUUGAAGAACGCAUGGUUCUUCAAAUGAGUGCAGUGAAUUAUGAACUUCUGGCAGUCGGACUUUUACGGAUCCCCAGCUUAAGGAAAGUUUUGACAAGAUAUUUCUAUAGAAACAGAAGAAGCUCAUUCUGAAAUCCAUCAUUAAUUCAGGGUCUCUCAACAAGCUCACCAUAUUGCACCUGAUUUUAAGAUGGACCGUGUUUCAAGACUGGGAACGUGCUGCUGACAAAGUGGCAGAACAACAACAUAGGCAACUUCAUUUUGAUCUUGAAUCACCCUACAAUUUGCUCGCCAAAUUCUGGCAUCUGAUCCAUUCAUGUAAGCUCCUGUUUUUUUUGUUUUUUUUUUCUUUUCUUUUUUUCUCGUUGUGUAAAGUGUACUUCCUCCUUAUUUUGAUUAUCUUCAGUAUAAGCUUGUAAUUUGGAGAAUUAUACUCUCUGUGUUUCUGCAAAAGUGUUACUUUUUAGGUUAAAAUGAAAAACUGAUAGUAACACCUUUGCGGAAACAAAGGUAAUACAAUAUUUUUGAUUGUUUUAU